rnacentral:lncRNA from 1 species
CGACCACUUUCUCUCAUCAAAAAUUUUAACUGACAAUAAUUGAUGCUUACGUAAUAAAAAAUAUUUGAUAAAUAUGAUAUGGCACAGAUGACGUGGUAUGAUGAAUGAAAAUUUUUAUUUACUAAUAUAGUAUGGUGAUGGUAUGGCAUCUGAUGUGAAUUUUUUUCGAAAAUAUCCAAUCAUCAAGAGAUAUGUCAGC